UACGUAGGGUGCGAGCAUUAAUCGGAAUUACUGGGCGUAAAGCGUGCGCAGGCGGUUUGUUAAGCCAGAUGUGAAAGCCCCGGGCUCAACCUGGGAACUGCGUUUGGUACUGGCAAGCUAGAGUACGGCAGAGGGGGGUGGAAUUCCACGUGUAGCAGUGAAAUGCGUAGAGAUGUGGAGGAACACCGAUGGCGAAGGCAGUGUCCUGGGGAGUACCUGACGCUCAGGUGCGAAAGCCAGGGGAGCGAACGGG
rnacentral:rRNA from 1 species